rnacentral:rRNA from 1 species
UACGGGGGGGACAAGCGUUGUUCGGAAUUACUGGGCGUAAAGGGCUCGUAGGCGGCCAACUAAGUCAGACGUGAAAUCCCUCGGCUUAACCGGGGAACUGCAUCUGAUACUGGAUGGCUUGAAUCCGGGAGAGGGAUGUGGAAUUCCAGGUGUAGCGGUGAAAUGCGUAGAUAUCUGGAGGAACACCGGUGGCGAAGGCGGCAUCCUGGACCGGUAUUGACGCUGAGGCGCGAAAGCCAGGGGAGCAAACGGG